rnacentral:tRNA from 1 species
GGAGGGUUGGCCGAGCGGUUCAUGGCGCAAGUCUCGAAAACUUGUCUCCAUUUUUGGAGGCGCAGGUUCGAAUCCUGCACCCUCCG